rnacentral:lncRNA from 1 species
AACAGGUUUAGAAGAAGUAUGCAUGUGUUUUAAUUUGCUUAUGGAAACUAUAAGUGUAUGAGAAAGGAAAGAAGGAAAGAAUCAAAACAUUUAUAUUUAUGUUGCGCUGCUGCAUUUCUCCAAGUUGUGUAAGGGAGUACAAAUGUUCUCAUUGGGAGAUAGGAUCCUGCAUCAAGCCCCAUUUCAGCAAGCAGCAGUCAAAAGUGGUUGGUAGAGCCUUUUUAAACAUGGAAAGUUAAAGGAAUAAGAAGUAUUGUUCACUUACAGUAGGUGAAAUUCAACCCUGUUGGAGUCAGUGGAAGUUCAGUUAUUUAAUUCAGUAGUCUCAGGUUUCUACUGUUUAUAAUGACCUACUGUAUGUUUGGACACCUUCUAAGCACAGGAAUUAUCCUCCACUAUUUAAAUGUUCUUAAUGCUUUUGAAGAUCAAGUGUAAUUGUUCAGCAGCUCUUGGUAUGUGCUGAACGUUCAUUCUCUUUCCUAAAUUAUAUUAUUUUCUGGUAACCAGCAGCUGAAGAC